UGGUAGAUGCACCCUAAAUAAUUGCCUCCCCUGGUUGGCUGCCACCACUAGGGGCUGUUUUU
rnacentral:sRNA from 1 species